UACGGGGGGGGCAAGCGUUGUUCGGAAUUACUGGGCGUAAAGGGCUCGUAGGCGGCCAACUAAGUCAGACGUGAAAUCCCUCGGCUUAACCGGGGAACUGCGUCUGAUACUGGAUGGCUUGAGAUUGGGAGAGGGAUGCGGAAUUCCAGGUGUAGCGGUGAAAUGCGUAGAUAUCAGGAGGAACACCGGUGGCGAAGGCGGAUCUCUGGGCCGAUACUGACGCUGAGGAGCGAAAGCGUGGGGAGCGAACAGG
rnacentral:rRNA from 1 species